rnacentral:rRNA from 1 species
GAUGAACGCUGGCGGCGUGCCUCAAACAUGCAAGUCGAGCGAGGCUAUGAAUUACCGCAAGGUAAGGCAUAGCCUAGCGGCGAACGGGUGAGUAACACGUGGGUAACCUACCUGGAAGACAGGGAUAACGAUUCGAAAGGGUCGCUAAUACCUGAUAAUAUCCAUCUGCCGGAUGGCGGAGGGAAGAAAGGGGAAACCCGCUUUCAGAUGGGCCCGCGUCCCAUCAGCUAGUUGGUAAGGUAAAGGCUUACCAAGGCGACGACGGGUAGCCGGUCUGAGAGGAUGUACGGCCACACUGGGACUGAGAUACGGCCCAGACUCCUACGGGAGGCAGCAGUUGGGAAUCUUAGGCAAUGGACGAAAGUCUGACCUAGCGACGCCGCGUGAGGGAAGAAGGCCUUCGGGUUGUAAACCGUCUGUCAUGGGGGAAGAAGGAAGUGACGGUACCCAAGAGGAAGCCCCUGCUAACUACGUG